rnacentral:rRNA from 1 species
UACGGAGGGUGCAAGCGUUGCUCGGAAUUAUUGGGCGUAAAGGGCAGGUAGGUGGUCUCGUUUGUCUGGGGUGAAAGCCUUGGAGCUUAACCUCAAGAAGUGCCCCAGAAACGGGCGAGACUAGAGUUCUGGAGAGGGUCGUGGAAUUCCCGGGUGUAGCGGUGAAAUGCGUAGAGAUCGGGAGGAACACCAGCGGCGAAGGCGGCGACCUGGUCCAGCACCGACGUCGGCACGAAAGCGUGGGGAGCAAACAGGG